rnacentral:rRNA from 1 species
GACGAACGCUGGCGGCGCGCCUAACACAUGCAAGUCGAACGGAGCUGAGAGAAGCUUGCUUUUCUUAGCUUAGUGGCGAACGGGUGAGUAACGCGUGAGUAACCUGCCCUGGAGUGGGGGACAACAGUUGGAAACGACUGCUAAUACCGCAUAAGCCCACGAUCCGGCAUCGGCUUGAGGGAAAAGGAUUUAUUCGCUUCAGGAUGGACUCGCGUCCAAUUAGCUAGUUGGUGAGGUAACGGCCCACCAAGGCGACGAUUGGUAGCCGGGCUGAGAGGUUGAGCGGCCACACUGGGACUGAGACACGGCCCAGAAUCCUACGGGAGGCAGGAGUGGGGGAUAUUGCACAAUGGGGGAAACCCUGAUGCAGCGACGCCGCGUGGAGGAAGAAGGUUUUCGGAUUGUAAACUCCUGUCGUUAGGGACGAUAAUGACGGUACCUAAAGAGAAAGCACCGGCUAACUACGUG